GACAGAGGGUGCAAACGUUGUUCGGAAUUACUGGGCGUAAAGCGCAUGUAGGCGGCUCGGAAAGUCGGAUGUGAAAGCCCAGGGCUCAACCCUGGAAGUGCACUCGAAACUCCCGAGCUGGAGUCCCGGAGAGGAAGGCGGAAUUCUCGGUGUAGAGGUGAAAUUCGUAGAUAUCUGGAGGAACACCGGUGGCGAAGGCGGCAUCCUGGACCAACACUGGCGCUGAGUGAGCGAAAGCCAGGGGAGCAAACGGG
rnacentral:rRNA from 1 species